rnacentral:rRNA from 1 species
UGAGGAAUAUUGGUCAAUGGGCGAGAGCCUGAACCAGCCAAGUAGCGUGCAGGAUGACGGCCCUAUGGGUUGUAAACUGCUUUUAUAUGGGAUUAAGUGAGGGAAGUGGCCCUUUUUUGAUGUUACAAACGAAAAAGGAACGGGCUAUUCCCUGCCAGCAGCCGGGGUAAUACGGAAGGUCCAGGCGUUAUCCGGAAUUAUUGGGUUUAAAGGGAGCGUAGGCUGUUUGUUAAGCGUGUUGUGAAAUGUAAGAGCUCAACUUUUAGAUUGCAGCGCGAACUGGCAGACUUGAGUGCGCACAACGUAGGCGGAAUUCAUGGUGUAGCGGUGAAAUGCUUAGAUAUCAUGACGAACUCCGAUUGCGAAGGCAGCUUACGGGAGCGCAACUGACGCUAAAGCUCGAAGGUGCGGGUAUCGAACAGG